AUCGGUGCCCAUGGCGCUGGGGAAACGCCUGAUACCAUUCCGAACUCAGAAGCUAAGCCCAGCAGCGGCGAUGAUACUCCUUCGGGGGAAAGUAGCACGGUGCCGAAU
rnacentral:rRNA from 1 species